ensembl:rRNA 5S_rRNA 5S ribosomal RNA
AUUAAUUAAUGUACCACCCUGAACGCGCCCGAUCUCGUCUGAUCUCGGAAGCUAAGCAGGGUCGGGCCUGGUCAGUACUUGGAUGGGAGACCGCCUGGGAAUACCAGGUGCUGUAAGUU